ACUUUAAAAAUCCCCAAAACAGGCAGGCCCUGUUGAAAAUUUUAACUCCUCAACUUUACUCAACUUUCAGGAUACCUACAAAAGAGACAGAGGAGGUUCCUUUGACCUGAACUUAAACCUAAACAGAGGAUGGAUGAGAUAUAUGACUUCUUAAAAUCACGGGAUGUUUCAGAGGAAGUCAUACAAAGACUGCAAAAGGAUAAGAUUGACUCCAGUGUCCUUCUGCUCAUGACAGAUGAACAGCUUAAGGAGUAUCUCCCAUCUUAUGGUGACCGACUGGCACUUCUCGGAUAUUGCAGACGAAGGGAAAAUGAUCCUCUGACCGAUUGAGAGCCAAGAUUUCAAGGAACAAAGGCAACGAUCAAAAGCAGAUCUCAGAAAAUGUUAGCAUCAGAAAUGCUCAAAAAAGUGUUCGAAAAGUUGAGAUAGGAUGGAUGAAUUCUCGAGAUGGGAAGUUUUUUCAAGUUCGGACAAAGAAAGGUGGUGGAACAAGAAAAAUUGAUGUUUCAAAGGACUGUAGAAAAAAUAAAUUAAUUGAGAAGGCA